UACGUAGGGUGCGAGCGUUAAUCGGAAUUACUGGGCGUAAAGCGUGCGCAGGCGGUGAUGUAAGACCGAUGUGAAAUCCCCGGGCUUAACCUGGGAGCUGCAUUGGUGACUGCAUCGCUCGAGUAUGGCAGAGGGGGGUAGAAUUCCACGUGUAGCAGUGAAAUGCGUAGAGAUGUGGAGGAAUACCGAUGGCGAAGGCAGCCCCCUGGGAUAACACUGACGCUCAUGCACGAAAGCGUGGGGAGCAAACAGG
rnacentral:rRNA from 1 species